AAAAUGUAACCGGACCGGGACGUCGCGGGCGAGAGCCCCUGGCGGACCGCGAAGGGAGAUAUCAUACACCCUGUGUUUAUUUACCUUUGUUGCUUUGGCGGGCCGUCCGUAAGGCGUCGGCCCCGGCUGACCGCGCCCGCCAGAGGACCCAAACUCGUUUUGUUUAGUGUCGUCUGAGUACUAUAUAAUAGUUA
rnacentral:misc_RNA from 1 species